AUGGAGAGUUUGAUCCUGGCUCAGGACGAACGCUGGCGGUGUGCUUAAUACAUGCAAGUCGAACGUGAAGCUGACUUCGGUCAGUGGAAAGUGGCGGACGGGUGAGUAACACGUAGGUAAUCUGCCUUAAGGUGGGGGACAACGUUGGGAAACUGACGCUAAUACCCCAUAUGUGGCGAGUUGUAAUACUCGUUAUGAAAGUUCCGGCGCCUUAAGAUGAGCCUGCGGCUGAUUAGUUUGUUGGUGAGGUAAUGGCUUACCAAGACUAUGAUCAGUAGCUGGUCUGAGAGGAUGAUCAGCCACAAUGGGACUGAGACACGGCCCAUACUCCUACGGGAGGCAGCAGUAGGGAAUUUUGCGCAAUGGGCGAAAGCCUGACGCAGCAACGCCGCGUGGAGGAUGAAGGCCUUCGGGUUGUAAACUCCUUUCGACCGGGACGAAAAUCUCUGCCAUUAAUAAUUGCAGGGACUGACGGUACUGGUGGAAGAAGCCUCGGCUAACUACGUGCCAGCAGCCGCGGUAAUACGUAGGAGGCAAGCGUUGUUCGGAAUUAUUGGGCGUAAAGGGCGUGUAGGUGGUCAUAUAAGUCGGAGGUGAAAUCCCUCGGCUUAACUGAGGAAGUGCCUUUGAUACUGUAUGGCUUGAGUACGGGAGAGGAGAGUGGAAUUCCCAGUGUAGCGGUGAAAUGCGUAGAUAUUGGGAAGAACAUCUGUGGCGUAGGCGGCUCUCUGGACCGUUACUGACACUGAAACGCGAAAGCUAGGGGAGCAAACGGGAUUAGAUACCCCGGUAGUCCUAGCUGUAAACGAUGGGCACUAGGUGUGGGAGGUAUCGACCCCUUCCGUGCCGCAGCUAACGCAUUAAGUGCCCCGCCUGGGGAGUAUGACCGCAAGGUUGAAACUCAAAGGAAUUGACGGGGGCCCGCACAAGCGGUGGAGCAUGUGGUUCAAUUCGACGCAACGCGAAAAACCUUACCUGGACUUGACAUGCACGGGGAUCCAGCAGAAAUGUUGGAGUCCGCAAGGACUCGUGCACAGGUGCUGCAUGGCUGUCGUCAGCUCGUGUCGUGAGAUGUUGGGUUAAGUCCCGCAACGAGCGCAACCCUUAUCCUUAGUUGCCAUCAGGUAAUGCUGGGAACUCUAAGGAAACUGCCGGCGAUAAGCCGGAGGAAGGUGGGGAUGACGUCAAGUCCUCAUGGCCUUUAUGUCCAGGGCAACACACGUGCUACAAUGGCCGUUACAAAGGGUUGCAAACCCGCGAGNNGAAUCGCUAGUAAUCGCGGAUCAGAACGCCGCGGUGAAUACGUUCCCGGGCCUUGUACACACCGCCCGUCACACCACGAAAGCCUGUUGUACCAGAAGUCGCUGAGCUAACCCGCAAGGGAGGCAGGUGCCUAAGGUAUGGCCGGUGAUUGGGGUGAAGUCGUAACAAGGUAGCCGUAGGGGAACCUGCGACUGGAUCACCUCCUUUCUA
rnacentral:rRNA from 1 species